rnacentral:rRNA from 1 species
GAUGAACGCUGGCGGCGUGCCUAAUACAUGCAAGUCGAGCGAACAGAUAAGGAGCUUGCUCCUUUGACGUUAGCGGCGGACGGGUGAGUAACACGUGGUUAACCUACCUAUAAGACUGGAAUAACUCCGGGAAACCGGGGCUAAUGCAGGAUAACAUGUUGAACCGCAUGGUUCUACAGUGAAAGGCGGCUUUGCUGUCACUUAUAGAUGGACCCGCGCCGUAUUAGCUAGUUGGUGAGGUAACGGCUCACCAAGGCAACGAUACGUAGCCGACCUGAGAGGGUGAUCGGCCACACUGGAACUGAGACACGGUCCAGACUCCUACGGGAGGCAGCAGUAGGGAAUCCUCCGCAAUGGGCGAAAGCCUGACGGAGCAACGCCGCGUGAGUGAUGAAGGUCUUCGGAUCGUAAAACUCUGUUAUUAGGGAAGAACAAAUGCGUAAGUAACUGUGCGCGUCUUGACGGUACCUAAUCAGAAAGCCACGGCUAACUACGUG